CUUAUUCCGUUCUUCAUGCUUUGUAGGAUCGACUAUUUGUUCUCAAUCUGGAUUUACCAUCUUGGGUCAGAGUAAAGGGAAGAUUAGUUCGUUUUUUCAAGAAAUCAGACACGGAUCAAUAGGUUGUCACAAUUGAUCAGUUCACGGUUGCCAUGGCUUAUAUUUAGGAGGCCUUAGCCAGUCUCAAGUAGGAGUUAGACAGUCAGUAGAGUAGAUCGCCCGUAGUUCAGAAUGAAGUGCCUUAUGAUUCAUUACCACCUCCACCACCACCAACUGGUCCUACAGUGUCACAGGCCCCACCCUAUAUAUUACAUGGUCAUUCUGAGGUUACCCC
rnacentral:lncRNA from 1 species